rnacentral:tRNA from 1 species
ACCUAGCUGGCUUAGUUGGUAGAGCAUGUGAUUCUUAAUCUUGGGGUCAUGAGUUCAAGCCCUAUGUUGGACA